CUUCUUGAAUUUAUUUGAAGUCGUACCUGCCCACUGAUGAGAUUAAAGGGCCGCGGUAUCUUGACCGUGCAAAGGUAGCAUAAUCAUUAGUCUUUUAAUUGGGGACUGGAAUGAAUGGUUUGACGAGACAUUAUCUGUCUCUCUAAUAUAUUUUGAAUUUUACUUUUAAGUUAAAAGGCUUAAGUGUUAAUUGGGGACGAGAAGACCCUAUAGAUCUUUAUUUCUUAUUAAGAAAAUUUGUUUUUAGUAGUUUUGAAUUUUUUAAGAUGGAGAAAUUUGGUUGGGGUGACAUGAGAAUAGAAAAACUUCUUAUUUAUGAUACUUGAAUGUGAGAAUUUGAGAUCCUAUAAUAUGGAUUUAAGAUUAAGAUACCUUAGGGAUAACAGCGUUAUUUUAUUUGAGAGUUCUUAUCGACAAUAAAGAUUGCGACCUCGAUGUUGGAUUAAGAUAAUAAAUUGGUGUAGAAGUUAAUUGUGUUAGUCUGUUC
rnacentral:rRNA from 1 species